GCAAAGAAGAUGAUGGCGAGAAAAAAACGAAGCCCAGUUUUGGCCGAUCGGCUCAUUCUUGAGCAUAUCGUCCUAUAAUUGGGUUUAUAGCCGUUUUAUUUGGAAAACGAGGGGGAAAUCAGGAGCUGCAGUUCUGCACACCUUUGAGCAGCAGUAUGAUGCAGGCAGGAGUCUGUCUGAGACAGGACACUGAGACAACACUACCAGAGCUCACUGAGCAGCACAGGAUCAGACAGAAAGAAGAGGAACUCAGUGGACUGGAGCCUGUCCACAUGGCAGAGUCAGAGAC